GCCUACAGCCAUGCUACCUUCGCUGGGCCCGAUCUCAUCUGAUCUCGGAAGCUGAGCAGGGUCGGGCCUGGUUAGUACUUGGAUGAGAGACCACCUAGGAAUACCAGGCAUUGUAGGUG
rfam:Pteropus alecto contig105877, whole genome shotgun sequence.